AUGCGGCGCGUGCUGCGAUUGGAUGGGAGCGCUGUCCGUCGGGCGCGUGUCGCGUGCUUCUGGCAGCCGGGCUCCACUCCGAGCCCAAGCAGCGGCGCGGAAGGAGGAGGAUGGACGGGAGGAGUCUCGUCUGCCUGUUCCCGACAUCCUGCCCUUGAAGGCAGGGACAGCAGCAGCAGCACAGCGCUCUUCUCCUCCUCUGCCUCUCUUUUUUUUUUAUUAAUAUUCUCCUCCUGCGGUGUCUCCUGGACCGGUCGGAGGUUGCGAUGGGGGCCCGGUCAUGUUGAGCGGGGGGAGGGAGGGCCUCUACGAGCUGGGCAGCCGGCUCCAGCAGCAGGGCGAGUCGCGGGCAGCUCUGCGCUGCUUCCUGAGCUGCCUGCUGGGCCUGCCGCACGUGCACAGCUUCCGCUCGCUGCCCGACUGCCUGCACCAGAUCGCCGAGCUCUUCAUAGAGGAAAAGAACUAUGUGAAAGCUCUCCGCUUCAUCCAAGCAGAGAAGAUGUUCUAUGAGGUGGCGCUGAUCGAGCUUACCGCCCUACAAGGCAACGCAGGGGCUCAGGAGGCGUCUCCGCCGGGCUCUCCGGGAUGGGACUCUCCAGAGGAGCCGCUGGAGCUGUCGGAGCUCGCCUCCCAGGCACAGGACUACGAGAGACUGGCCCAGCUGUGCAUCAUGAGUAAAAGACCUCACCUUGCCUUGGAGUACAGCGGGAAGGCCACUAAAAUUCGGCAGAAGGCUUUCGGCAACGACCACCCCAUCACCGCCAGGAGCCUGGAGCUGCUCGCCUCCGUCUAUGCCGAGAUCGGCAAGACCGAGUACUCAGACUCGUUGGGCCAGUGCGUGUCAGCGCUGUCAAAGAGGUUCGCCACCAACGAGCCCUUCAGCAAUGCCCUCAAUGGCACAGCCUCAACCCGCAGGGUCCGCCACCACCACAGGAAGGACCCCCACCCUCCAGAGGAAGCACCAAAACCCCAGGUCUCCACGUGCAAAUUUCCCACCUCCAUCCUGAAGAGGUCCAACCUCAGCGGCAGCGACACAGAGCCCACCCAGAGGCGAAAAUCAGAGCGGCGGGUUCGCUUCAGGGAGCCGGAGAACGUUGUGCACGAUUACGACGGCUCUCCCUGUCGGCCGCACCUGGCGCUGUUCGCCUGCUUCUUCCUGCUGCUGUCCGUGCUGGGGGUGGCGCUGUACUGCACAGACCGGCGGAGGCCACUGCGCAUGUGUGAGGAGCUGGAGGCCCUGCUGGCCGUCUAUCUCCUGCAGAUGAAGCAGGUUGUGUGGGCCUGCUGGAUCUGGCUCACCAUGCAGUGA
rnacentral:lncRNA from 1 species